AUAUCUUCUCUCUCCCACGUUUCUCUCCACUUUAAUCUCCAACUUUCUCUUGCUCUUUAUACACCAAAAACGGUUUUCUCCACAAAUCUAAAACGUUCUCUCUGCAAAAAUCGACGAAUUUAUGUUCUCUAUCCUAUACAUCAAUAAAUCUUAAAUAUUACUUCAAUGGGGAUGAGUUCAAUCGAGAACUGAUGGAAAACAUCAGCAAUUUCCUCUCUCAAUUGUUCAUAACCCAACCCAUCAUUCCUACAAAAGAAAAUCGUUCCUCUCUCCAAAACAGUUAAACCCAUCUCCCUAUUCUUCGAUUCUUCUUCUAAUUAGCCCAAAUCAAUGUACAAGUAGUGGAUCUCAAGCCCACCGGCCGGCGACAAAGGCAUGUAUGAAUAUAAAUUUGCAUAAUUUUUUUUAGAAUUCACCAUCGGCAAUGACAAGCAGGCGAGUCGAUCUACAGCGACGACAUUUGUUGGUGAGAACUUGGAAAAUUUUAAUUUAUUUCUCAUAUUAUGGACAAUUAAUUUUUUUUAAGGUGAUGAUUUCUAUAUCUUUACAGAAGUGGAAAUGCAGGGGAUUGAAGUGGAAGUCUUCUCUAUUUCACGCUCUAUCCAUCGAAAAUAGAGACGCAUAGAGACACAUUUUCCUAGGUAAAUUUGAGUUUUCAGCCCUGAUUUCUAAUUUUUUUUAUUGUAAAUGUAAAUUUCUACGAUUUAAGAUGUGUGAAUCAAUUGUUGAAGAUUGUUCAAUAUUUUGUAUUUUUUUGGAAGCUUCAGUAUUUUGUAGUGUUUUUUUUUUUUUUUAGGAACAGUAUUUUGUAGUUUUAAGUAUUCAUAUCCUCACACUUUUGACGUCGUUGGCGUUGCCGCUCCACCCAAUUUUGUCAAGCACGUUACCGAGUCACAUAACCUCGUCGCCACCACUGUAACAGUCCAGUGCCUAAAAGAGCAGUUUAACCGUCACUAUCGGCCGGAAUAACCACCCUUGCCUUUGUCUCACCGAACAACCCAGCAACCACCAUCACCUUUUCCUUUUUCUUUUUUUCCCUUUAAUUUCUUAGUUAUGCUAAAUAUAGGGCUAUGCAUGUUUGUAUAUUGGUGAAUUUUAGAGGAGUGUAUAUUGGUGAAUUUUAGAGAAGGUUUUAGAUAUAUUCUUCAACAAAUGCUAGAUUAAAUUGUUUCGUGUACAUCGCCAAUAACAUAUAACCACAUAUCUUUGUAGUUUCAUGUCAUGUUAAUCAAAUCAUUCAUUUAGACGUUUAUAGUGGUAUGAUUCUUUUUAGAUAAUCAAUCAUUAUGCCUUUGUAGAUAUUAUUUAUUUCCAAGAUUCAAUUUCUAAAGUUCAAAACCUAUUCUUUUGAAGUUGAUGCUACUAUAUAUGUGAGAAAUUGAUUUGAAGGCGGAUGAGGAGAAGAAUAUGGGGUUACUCUCAAAUUUGGCUUAUGCUUUGACAAUGGACUAUAUUUUUGCAAAGGAGCUCUUAUGGAAAUAAAGGCUGAGCAACCAAGAAAGCCUAGAGCAGAUCUGUUAGUUUCUCAAUGAUAACUGUUUAGUGCUCAACGAUUUCAACUUUAGAGAUGAGUUGCUUCUCCUUUUAUGAAUUAUGUUUGUAGACCACAUAGAACCACUAUUAUACAGGGAGAAAUGUUGUUGUUUUGUAUUGAUUAUUGCUUAGUUGGUGCUUAAUUUAUAGAAAAGGCUAUGCAUUUGUUUUUCUCUUUAAAAUUUUGAAAUAAAACAAUCAAAGAUUUAUAUAUUACAUAUUUCUCGCGUCUUCUCUCUUUCAGCUUGCCUUCAUGCCUUAGAUGGAGAUUGAAAUAAACUAUUUGAUUGCUCAUACUAAUCUAUGUCAUGUGUAGAACUUUUUGAGAUCAAAUCUUGAAAGGCGUUGUGCUCUUCUUUUGCUAUGGGAAUUUUUUUUAUGCUAAAGCUAAAGUAGAAAGCCUAGCUCAUACGGGUAAUCUCCAUCUAUUGCUUUCUUAUUUUGCUCCAUAUAUAAUUCUUUGAGAACACAUGUUUAAGUGUGUAUUUGUUUUCCUGCUGACAUAUCUACAUAUAUAUGAAAUCACAGUUUCUAAUGGUUGUUUUUUGCAUCAAUUCAAUCAGGUUUAGAAAAACCAUCUUUUCGGGAUAUUCUCAGCGCAUCAGUUGCAGAAAAUUCAAUUUUCUGAUUUGUUUCAGCAUCAUUUCUAGCGCGUCAAGGUUGAUUCGUCCAGCGCGUAUCACCAACAUUUGUCGGCCGCAGAUGUAGAGAAAUCAAAAGGGAUGUGUCCAUAAGCCACCAGAGAGGAUUGGAGAAGAAAGAUGUGGAGAAAUCGAUAGGAUGUGUGAAAGAGUAACAUGAUGGACUGUUUCUCUUGGAUGGAAAUAUCAUUGACGGCCAUGUUUCAAAAAUCUAAACAUUCAUAGGACACUUAUUGAAAAUUUAGAGAGUGCUAAUGCACCCAUAUAUCAUCGAAGCUCUCAAGUGAGAAAAAUGUUUAGUAUGAAAGUUUGAAUAAUUUGUUAUAAUCUUUUAAAAAGAUAUAUAAAUAAAAAAAAU
rnacentral:lncRNA from 1 species